CCCAGUAGAGGGAGGGAAGGCGGAGGCGACGGAACUCUACGUCACGCGCGGUCGCCAUGAUUAUUGAGGAUAGAGCGACGGCUGCGGAGAAGGGCAUGGGCGGCCUUCUUUGUACCUCGUUGUGAAAAUUACUACAGUACAUGGACAUGGGCAGGAGGAGGACUUAUCUGAUGCCACAGACCAGUGGCUUUCAGAGAGGGUACACGUAAUUGUCUGCUGUCUGCCGUCUGCGGUUGCUCACUGUGUCAGUGACUGGGUAAAGUGUUUCCACUUCAGCCACAUCCUCCAGUCCAGCUUUGUCAGUAAUAAAGAUGACAUUUUGAUCUCUA